rnacentral:rRNA from 1 species
AUGGCUUCAUCUCUGAAGGUGGCCGCUGCCCUCGCCAUGGCCGUUUGCGUCGUGCUUGUGCUGAACAUGGGCCAGCCUGUGGAAGCCACAGAAUGCAAAGAUUGUCUCGCUGACUGUGUUGAAGUUUGCGUCAACUACUCUGACACUGCGUGCAGCGGCAUCUGCACCGCCAAACCUCCUGCAUGCCAGUCAUGCAAGUACGCGUCCUUCCUUACGUGUGGUGGCACAUGCUACAGCGCCUGUGCCCAUUUCUGCUAA